rnacentral:rRNA from 2 species
AUGUGGUUUAAUUCGAUGCAACGCGAAGAACUUACCUAGACUUGACAUCCCGGGAAUUCUUAGGAAACUAAGAAGUGCUUCGGGAGCCCGGUGACAGGUGCUGCAUGGCUGUCGUCAGCUCGUGUCGUGAGAUGUUGGGUUAAGUCCCGCAACGAGCGCAACCCUUGUCUUUAGUUGCCAUCAUUAAGUUGGGCACUCUAAAGAGACUGCCGAUGACAAAUCGGAGGAAGGUGGGGAUGACGUCAAAUCAUCAUGCCCUUUAUGUCCUGGGCUACACACGUGCUACAAUGGUCGGUACAACGAGAAGCAAGUCAGCGAUGGCAAGCAAAUCUCUAAAAGCCGAUCCCAGUUCGGAUUGCAGGCUGCAACUCGCCUGCAUGAAGUCGGAGUUGCUAGUAAUCGCGGAUCAGAAUGCCGCGGUGAAUGCGUUCCCGGGUCUU